rnacentral:rRNA from 1 species
UUGCUUCUAUGCGUUACGGCGGACGGGUGAGUACACGUGGGCACCUGCCUGUAAGACUGGGAUAACUUCGGGAAACCGAAGCUAAUACCGGAUAGGAUCUUCUCCUUCAUGGGAGAUGAUUGAAAGAUGGUUUCGGCUAUCACUUACAGAUGGGCCCGCGGUGCAUUAGCUAGUUGGUGAGGUAACGGCUCACCAAGGCAACGAUGCAUAGCCGACCUGAGAGGGUGAUCGGCCACACUGGGACUGAGACACGGCCCAGACUCCUACGGGAGGCAGCAGUAGGGAAUCUUCCGCAAUGGACGAAAGUCUGACGGAGCAACGCCGCGUGAGUGAUGAAGGCUUUCGGGUCGUAAAACUCUGUUGUUAGGGAAGAACAAGUACNAGAGUAACUGCUCGUACCUUGACGGUACCUAACCAGAAAGCCACGGCUAACUACGUGCCAGCAGCCGCGGUAAUACGUAGGUGGCAAGCGUUU